GACGAACGCUGUCGGCGUGCUUAACACAUGCAAGUCGAACGGAAAGGCCCUGCUUUUGUGGGGUGCUCGAGUGGCGAACGGGUGAGUAACACGUGAGUAACCUGCCCUUGACUUUGGGAUAACUUCAGGAAACUGGGGCUAAUACCGGAUAGGAGCUCCUGCUGCAUGGUGGGGGUUGGAAAGUUUCGGCGGUUGGGGAUGGACUCGCGGCUUAUCAGCUUGUUGGUGGGGUAGUGGCUUACCAAGGCUUUGACGGGUAGCCGGCCUGAGAGGGUGACCGGCCACAUUGGGACUGAGAUACGGCCCAGACUCCUACGGGAGGCAGCAGUGGGGAAUAUUGCACAAUGGGCGGAAGCCUGAUGCAGCAACGCCGCGUGCGGGAUGACGGCCUUCGGGUUGUAAACCGCUUUCGCCUGUGACGAAGCGUGAGUGACGGUAAUGGGUAAAGAAGCACCGGCUAACUACGUGCCAGCAGCCGCGGUGAUACGUAGGGUGCGAGCGUUGUCCGGAUUUAUUGGGCGUAAAGGGCUCGUAGGUGGUUGAUCGCGUCGGAAGUGUAAUCUUGGGGCUUAACCCUGAGCGUGCUUUCGAUACGGGUUGACUUGAGGAAGGUAGGGGAGAAUGGAAUUCCUGGUGGAGCGGUGGAAUGCGCAGAUAUCAGGAGGAACACCAGUGGCGAAGGCGGUUCUCUGGGCCUUUCCUGACGCUGAGGAGCGAAAGCGUGGGGAGCGAACAGGCUUAGAUACCCUGGUAGUCCACGCUGUAAACGGUGGGUACUAGGUGUGGGGUCCAUUCCACGGGUUCCGUGCCGUAGCUAACGCUUUAAGUACCCCGCCUGGGGAGUACGGCCGCAAGGCUAAAACUCAAAGGAAUUGACGGGGCCCCGCACAAGCGGCGGAGCAUGCGGAUUAAUUCGAUGCAACGCGUAGAACCUUACCUGGGUUUGACAUGGAUCGGGAGUGCUCAGAGAUGGGUGUGCCUCUUUUGGGGUCGGUUCACAGGUGGUGCAUGGCUGUCGUCAGCUCGUGUCGUGAGAUGUUGGGUUAAGUCCCGCAACGAGCGCAACCCUUGUUCACUGUUGCCAGCACGUUAUGGUGGGGACUCAGUGGAGACCGCCGGGGUCAACUCGGAGGAAGGUGGGGAUGACGUCAAGUCAUCAUGCCCCUUAUGUCCAGGGCUUCACGCAUGCUACAAUGGCUGGUACAGAGAGUGGCGAGCCUGUGAGGGUGAGCGAAUCUCGGAAAGCCGGUCACAGUUCGGAUUGGGGUCUGCAACUCGACCUCAUGAAGUCGGAGUCGCUAGUAAUCGCAGAUCAGCAACGCUGCGGUGAAUACGUUCCCGGGGCU
rnacentral:rRNA from 1 species